rnacentral:lncRNA from 1 species
UUUUUUUCCUAACAGAAUUUUGGAUUUCUUUUUCCAAAAGACUAUGGACUAAAGCAUCGUCCCUUGGCAUUAUGCAGCGACUACACAAUCCCUGACUGAAGGUCCCAGCUGGAGAGCCAGUGGUGUCGUCCUGGCUGGAGUCCCAUUAUUUUCAUUGGCCUUAGAUGAAUGACCAGGAACGAACGCUGGUCCAGGACCCCAGGAUCCCCUGCCAAGACGCAAGUUCUUGAACGAUGGCAGUCUCUGUUCUGGAGAGCCUUUGGAUUUGAAGACGUCCUUUCUGAGGCUACCUCAUCUCCAUUGCUCUACCCCCAGCUAUCUAGUAGGAUGCCACCCAGUACCUCUCUAGUCUCUCUGCUCUGUAGUUGAUAUUCUACCGCUCAGAGUCCUACUAGCAGGGACUUGGGUUCCAAACUUUUUAUCUGGUGCACUCUGUACACACUCCUGCUCCUGUCCAAGCUGCUGAUCGGACGCUCCUACGCUAUUGCUGAGGUAUGUACGAAUCAUCUGUCUGUAAAUUUGAAUCUAAAUUCUAGAGUCUAACUCAUAA